GAUGAAGAACGCAGCGAAAUGCGAUAAGUAAUGUGAAUUGCAGAAUUCAGUGAAUCAUCGAAUCUUUGAACGCAACUUGCGCUCCUUGGUAUUCCGAGGAGCAUGCCUGUUUGAGUGUCAUUAAUAUAUCAACCUCUUCUGUUUGAUGAGUGGUUGGAUGUGGGGGUUUUGUUGCUGGUCCCAAAAAAGGUCAGCUCCCCUGAAAUGCAUUAGCGGAACAAUUUGUGGACCGUUCAUUGGUGUGAUAACUAUCUACGCUAUUGACGUGAAGCAAGAUUCAGCUUCUAACAGUCAGUCUAUGACAAUUCUUUAUUAAUGUGACCUCAAAUCAGGUAGGACUACCCGCUGAACUUAAGCAUAUCAAUAAGCGGAGGA
rnacentral:misc_RNA from 1 species